GUUCACGGCCAUACCAACUGAAGAACGCCCAAUUUCGUCUGAUCUUGGAAGCUAAGAAGGCUUGGGCCUGGUUAGUAUUGGAUGGGUUACUGCCUGGGAAUACCAGGUGCUGUAACUA
ensembl:rRNA 5S_rRNA 5S ribosomal RNA